GACAGAGGGGGCAAGCGUUGCUCGGAAUUACUGGGCGUAAAGGGCGCGUAGGCGGGAUGGCAAGUCGGUCGUGAAAUCCCUCGGCUCAACCGAGGAACGUCGAUCGAUACUGCUGUUCUUGAGGAUUGCAGAGGAGACUGGAAUUCCCGGUGUAGCGGUGAAAUGUGUAGAGAUCGGGAGGAACACCGGUGGCGAAGGCGGGUCUCUGGACAGUUCCUGACACUGAGGCACGAAGGCCAGGGGAGCGAACGGG
rnacentral:rRNA from 1 species